rnacentral:lncRNA from 1 species
UAACGAAGAAUAAACAAGAAGCUAUUCUAAGAGAGCCUUCAGCCAGGCCCAGACCUCCAACCUAACUUCUUUCGAGCUUCACAGCCUUCACCAAGAGUUUGGCUGCGGCAAAGUUCCCUAGGGGUCUUUUGAGACCCCGGCCAAUACGAGGAACCCAAAACAAAUCACCAUUGAUAAGUGCGAGUGUGGAAUUGCCAACCUUGUGCAUCAAAGUUUAGUGGGUACUCAAGGUACCCAAAGCAAUGGUUACACUAGGGGGCAUGACCUUAUUCUAAGAGUAGUGUGAUUGUGAUAAAAUUUGAAGGUUUUGAGUUGAAAAGGUUUUACAUGAAGGACAGUUUGAGAAAAACAAUAGAAGAUUGAAAAAACUUAAUUGAGUUUGAAAAACGUUACUUAGAGGCUAGUUUUGAAAGCAAUAGUCACACAGGCAAAGAUAAAGGCAAAGGAAGCAAACAACUCACAAACAAGACAGUCAUUCACAAACAUUUAAAGGAGAGUUGAUGCUUCAGUCAGGAGUCUAACUCUUAUAGCGCCAGACAUCAAAUCAUCCUCAAAAGGUUUUGGGCUAUGGAGUAGCCAUGAGAAUGCUAGUAGUAUACAAAAGAAAAGGGGAAACAUGCAUUGGGAUAGUCAAGGGGGUAAUGAACAUGCUAGGCUUACUAAUUAGGCCUACCAGUUAACACAGAUGCAUGCGAGUUGAUAUAGGAGCAGCUGAACCAGAAUAAAAGAAAGUGCAGCAACAAUAGAAGCGUGUUGUUUUUGAGGCUAUAACUUAAGAAAGAUACAUACCAGUUGGAAAAUAAUGUAAACACAGAGCAAUAGUGAGCAACGAAGUGAGCAGUAAUGUGCAGAGAGAAGCAGAGAGGAGAGCAGCAGUAUGCAGGAAGUGAGCAGCAGGCAGACCCAAAGCAGGUAACACAGUAGAGACCAGAAGAGACAAAGGUUACUCAACUUUGGCUUGCAGCCAGUUGAGUGAUUAGCAUUCAACAGGAAAAGUGAAAGAAAAUUGUGUAGAAACAAAGAGCACAAAGAUGCUUGUGUGAAAGAGAGAGAGUUCAGAACAUUGAGUGUAAACAAUAUGCAAUGUGUUUGUGUCUUGCAAAGAGAGUGGGGGAGGACUAAAUACGAGUAAACAAACAAGGUAUAAGUCCCUUAAUUUAAGGGACUGGCAUCAAUAACAAUCCAAUCAGUAUAUGGACUUUCCUUUGAUUAAGGGAUCCCAAAUCAAACACUAAUAAUCAAUCAUAUAAAAGGAAAGAAAUCACAAAGUAAUGUAUAAUCACAUAAGGAAACAGAGUAGCAGAAAUUAUGCAAUAAAGACUACAACAUGACCAUCUAAUUAGGGAAACAGGUCAGGCAAAUCAAUCAACAAAUUUGUGUACAUAUAUAGGUCAAAACACCACUGUAAUUCUGAAAAAUAAUAGUUUUUCAAAAUAAUGACCGAGAUUGAAAACCUAGGAAAUCAGUAUUAACCGAGGAAAUUAUCCCACAAAUUAAGGAAGAAAUUUAAACUAUAGGGAAAAUACGCAGAAUCACAAUUUUAAAGCAAGUAUCACUGUCUCAAAGAGGGCUCGAAGAAUC